rnacentral:rRNA from 1 species
AGAGUUUGAUCAUGGCUCAGAACGAACGCUGGCGGCGUGCUUAACACAUGCAAGUCGAGUGCGCGUUUCUGUAGCAAUACAGAGAUGGCGCACGGCGCACGGGUGCGUAACACGUGGGUAAUCUGCCCUCUGAUGGGAGAUAACCCGCCGAAAGGCGGGCUAAUUCCGCAUAACAUUCCUUGGACUCCGGUUCGAGGAUUCAAAGGCGUAAGUCGUCGGAGGUGGAGCCCGCGCACGAUUAGCUAGUUGGUAGGGUAACGGCCUACCAAGGAUUUGAUCGUUAGCUGGUCUGAGAGGAUGGCCAGCCACACUGAGACUGAGACACGGUCCAGACUCCUACGGGAGGCAGCAGUGGGAGAUCUUGCACAAUGGGCGAAAGCCUGAUGCAGCGACGCCGCGUGGGGGAUGAAGCUUCUCGGAGUGUAAACCCAUUUCGACCCGGACGAAUGCCCCGCAAGGGGAGUGACGGUACGGGUAUGAGAAGCCCCGGCUAACUACGUGCCAGCAGCCGCGGUAAGACGUAGGGGGCCAGCGUUGUUCGAGAUUACUGGGUGUAAAGGGUUCGUAGGCGGUGUGGCAAGUCGGGAGUGAAAUCUCUGGGCUCAACUCAGAGGCUGCUUCCGAAACUGCUGUGCUUGAGUGUGGGAGAGGCGCGUGAGAUUGCAGGUGUAGCGGUGAAAUGCGUAGAUAUCUGCAGAGACACCCGUGGCGAAAGCGGCGCGCUGGACCACUACUGACGCUGAGAACGAAAGCUAGGGGAGCAAACAGGAUUAGAUACCCUGGUAGUCCUAGCCCUAAACGAUCAGGACUUGGGGUGCCACCCGUUCGGGUGUCGUCCCGGAGCUAACGCGUUAAGUCCUGCACCUGGGGAGUACGGUCGCAAGACUGAAACUCAAGAGAUUGACGGGGCCCCGCACAAGCGGUGAGACAUGUGGUUCAUUUCGACGCUAC